GUUGACCAAAAUGCAUUUAUGAUACAAAAAGUUCAUGGGACUCUGUAGGGGAUGACCAAUACUGUAAGAGGGUUUCAACUGUUAGUCUUCGUGUUGCACUCAACAUUGAAAUAAAAAAUCGACACCCAUCAAUUUUGUAUUCUUCGAGAGGAUUCCUGUGCCCAAAACUUCUAACAUUUACCGCUGAACUGAGCCUGUUCAUAUUUAUGAGAUGAUCCCUCCAGAAACAGUCUAGAGUCUUCAGAAGAACUGCCCUCUCAAUUUCCUUGACGUAUGCAUCAUCAUAACCGGAUUCCUGCACAACAUUCCAAUACGAAGCAAUGAGGAGAUCUCCAAGGUACUUGCGAAGAAGAUUAGUAGUUGUCCGGUAUCCACCAUUCUUAGUCAAUUCAUCAGAGCAUAUAACAAGCCAACGCUUUAGUGAAUGACAUUUCCUACGGAUUCCUCGAAAA
rnacentral:misc_RNA from 1 species